rnacentral:rRNA from 1 species
UACAGAGGGUGCGAGCGUUAAUCGGAAUUACUGGGCGUAAAGCGUGCGUAGACGGUUAUUUAAGUCGGAUGUGAAAGCCCCGGGCUCAACCUGGGAAUUGCAUUCGAGACUGAAUAGCUAGGGUGCGGUAGAGGGAAGCGGAAUUUCCGGUGUAGCGGUGAAAUGCGCAGAUAUCGGGAGGAACACCUAUGGCGAAGGCAGCUCGCUGGGGACGUUACUGACGCUGAGACGCGAAAGCGUAGGGAGCAAACAGG